rnacentral:tRNA from 1 species
GCGGGCGUAGCCAAGUGGUUAAGGCAGUGGAUUGUGAUUCCACCAUUCGCGAGUUUCAAGUCUCGUCGUCCGCC